GUAUUUCAUUGCGUUAAACGCGACAUACAUUCCAUGAGACUUUGUUGUAGUGUGUGUGUAAAGACGCAGAACCACAGCAGGGGGGACGGAGCCCCACAGGCCAUAGAACUACAGAGGGUGCACAGGUGUGAGUGGAUGUGUAAACAGAGCGUGCACAUGCCCCCAUACAGGGACCAGCAACAACUCUUGUUAACAAUUCGGUAAUGAUCCUUCCGCAGGUUCACCUACGGAAA
rnacentral:misc_RNA from 1 species